AACCAGACUUAGGGUGUCAUCAGAGGAGGAACAGAAAAGGCUUGAUGGCAGUGAACAUAACCAGCUCAGUGGCAGACUUCCUAGCAGGGAGAGGGGAGAAGUCGCCUGUCUGUCCGCGGAUGCCUGGACGGGAGCCGCUUCCUAGUCACAGCUUCCGGUUUAGGGGCCGCGGUGUUCACCUACGGCAGGGCUGUCGGUGUGGAACACCACUGGCCAGGUAUUCUGGAUUCUGCUCUGUGUUUUCCUCAGGAAUCCUCAGUGGAAGGUCUGGAGACUUUUCUUGAAAAAAGAC
rnacentral:lncRNA from 1 species